rnacentral:rRNA from 1 species
UCCAGACUCCUACGGGAGGCAGCAGUGGGGAAUAUUGCACAAUGGGGGAAACCCUGAUGCAGCGACGCCGCGUGAGUGAAGAAGUACUUCGUUAUGUAAAGCUCUAUCAGCAGGGAAGAAAAUGACGGUACCUGAGUAAGAAGCCCCGGCUAACUACGUGCCAGCAGCCGCGGUAAUACGUAGGGGGCAAGCGUUAUCCGGAUUUACUGGGUGUAAAGGGGGCGCAGACGGCGAUGCAAGCCAGGAGUGAAAGCCCGGGGCCCAACCCCGGGACUGCUCUUGGAACUGCGUGGCUGGAGUGCAGGAGGGGCAGGCGGAAUUCCUGGUGUAGCGGUGAAAUGCGUAGAUAUCAGGAGGAACACCGGUGGCGAAGGCGGCCUGCUGGACUGCAACUGACGUUGAGGCCCGAAAGCGUGGGGAGCAAACAGGAUUAGAUACCCGGGUAGC